rnacentral:tRNA from 1 species
AGCUCUGAGGUGUUUUCACGCGAGAUUGCAAAUCUUGAGAAGCAGACUAAACUCUGCCGGGGCUU